rnacentral:rRNA from 1 species
UCAUGGACAACCUUGGGAAACUGAGGCUAAACCAUGAUAGGGAAUUUGUUCUGGAAUGACUUUUUCCUGAAAAGUAAUGCUAUAAGAUGAGUCGGCGGCUGAUUAGAUUGUUGGUGAGGUAAUGGCUCACCAAGUCUUUGAUCAGUAGGGGGGAUGAGAGUCCUAGCUUCGAGAAGGACACUGAGAUACUGGUCCUAGCCCUAAGGGGUGCAGCAGGCGAGAAACCUUUACAAUGCACGAAAGUGUGAUAAGGGGAACCCAAGUGCUCAUGCUUAGCAUGGGCUUUUGUUGAGUGUAAAAAACUUAAAGAAUAAAUGGUGGGUAAGACUGGUGCCAGCCGCCGCGGUAACACCAGCGCCAUGAGUGGCAAUCAUAAUUAUUGGUCUAAAGCGUCCGUAGCAGGUUUGGUAACUCUUUUGUGAAAUUGUUGGGCUUAACUUAACAGAUUGCAGGAGAAACUGCAAAACUUGAGACCGGGAAGAGACAGAAGUAUUCUAAGGGGAGCGGUAAAAUGUUAUAAUCCUUGGAGGACUACCUGUGGCGAAGGCGUCUGUCUAGAACGGCUCUGACUGUGGGGGACGAAAGCCAGGGGAUCAAAACGGAUUAGAUACCCGAGUAGUCCUGGCUGUAAACGCUGUGAGCUGUGUGUUGAGUUUUCUUCGAGAAAACUCAGUGCCCAAGCGAAGGUGUUAAGCUCACCACCUGGGAAGUACGGUCGCAAGAUUGAAACUUAAAGGAAUUGGCGGGGGCUCACACAAGCGGUGGAGCGUGCGGUUUAAUUGGAUUCUACGCCGCAAAUCUUACCGGGAGCGAUGGCAGGAUGAAGGUCAGAUUAAAGGUUUUACCUAACAGGCCAAGAGAUGGUGCAUGGCCGUCGCCAGCUCGUGCCGUGAGGUGUUCUCUUAAGUGAGAUAACGAGCGAGACCCACACCUACUUUUGCCAGCAGAUCUUUUUAGAUGACUGGGGACAAUGUAGGGACUGCUUCUGUAAAGAAGAGGAAGGCGUGGGCAACGAUAGGUCAGUAUGCCUCGAAUCCUCCGGGCUACACGCGCGCUACAAUGAUAAGGACAAUGGGAUGCGACUCUGAAAAGAGAAGCUAAGCCUCUAAACCUUAUCCUAGUACCGAUUGAAGGUUGUAAUUCACCCUCAUGAAGAUGGAAUCGCUAGUAAUCGGAAUUCAACACAUUCCGGUGAAUACGUCCCUGAGCCUUGCACACACUGCCCGUCACCUCAUCCGAGCAGGGUUUAGAUGAGACUUAACUUUUGGUUAUUCCGAAUCUAAAUUCAGCAAGGCGGAGUAAGUCGUCAAAAGGUA